rfam:Thermobispora bispora DSM 43833, complete genome.
CGAGCCGGCCGGGCGGCCGCGUCAGGGCGCAAGCCCUGCCGAGGAAGGUCCGGGCUCCACAGGGCAGGGUGGUCGGUAACGCCGACCCGGGGUGACCCGCGGGAAAGUGCCACAGAAAGCAGACCGCCUCGCUCCGCAAGGAGCGGGGUAAGGGUGAAAGGGUGGUGUAAGAGACCACCAGCGCUCACGGUGACGUGAGCGGCUAGGUAAACCCCACCCGGAGCAAGGUCAAGAAGGGACGUUCUUCGGAGCGUCCCGCGCGCGGCGCUUGAGGGUGGCCCGCCCGAGCCGCGCGGGUAGACCGCUAGAGGCCGUCGGCAACGGCGGUCCGAGAUGGAUGGCCGCCGGUCAGCGCGAGCUGACUACAGAACCCGGCCUAUAGGCCGACUCGUCUG